AUGGAAUUUUCCAGGCUAGAAUAUUGGAGUGGGUUGCCAUUUCCUACUGCAGGGGAUCUUCCCGACCCAGGGAUUGAACCUGCAUCUCCUGUGUCUCCUGCAUUGGCAGGAAGAUUCUUUACCACGGAGCCACCAUCACAACGUAAACAGCAUUGCAAUUACUGGAAACUUGCUCUCCCAGCAGCCUGCCUCCAGGACCAGAGGGUCCUGCUGAUGUUCCAAGGAGGUGGGGGAAGACGGGCCAGAGAAGCUCCUCCUUCUCUGCUGUCCUCCAGGAGUGAGCUGGCUGAUUGCUUCAUUCUAAGUGGCUCCUAUGUGUGCGACUUAGUCGUCUCUCAUCAGAUAUACACCACAACCUUGUCUGGUGAUUGCCCGCGUUUGCUGGUUUCAAGCUUUUUUCUCAGUAGUUUUGGGUGUAAAUGCUAUAGUGUGUAUACCAGGAAAGCCAUCCAGCUGUGGUUCUAACUCAGGAAUGCUGGAUUUACCCCUGGGGUCAAAAGAAGAACAGAAUCUAAUUUUUAUUGAAUUAAAAUUAAAAUAUUGAGUUAAAAUGUUAUUGAAAGUAUUCUUAUUGAGUACUUACUACAUGCUAGGGUCUGGGGACACAGGCAGGCAAGACAGCCUUGCUCUGCAUUCUCAUGGAUUUUAUAAUCUGGUGAGGGAUAUAAACAGCAAAAACAAUAGAAAGAAUGAGGUCAAAACACAAAAUAAUAAAAUUACAAAUUGCAAUAAAUGCUGUGUCAGAACAGAAGGUGGCUAAAAUACAAAAAAAAAAAAAAAAAAACCCAAAAACCCAACUAGAUAUUGUUUCAGAGAUUUCCCAGUGCCCUCCAAGAGAGUAUGCUCCUGAACGAGUGGGUCUUGUUAGGACCCACGAACAAUAUCAUAUAUAAUAUCACUAACCUGCCAAACAUCCCUGAAGUGCAUGUUCUCCCUGAUCUGGGACACGGGAAGUCGUUUGUUCCACGUGACACAGUGGGAGCUGGAGGCAAGGCCAGUGCUUUCCCCCGGGCUGUGUUCUAAGGCACAGCGGACCCCUCCUCUCACCUCAGGGGAUGUGGUUGAGUUUAUAGACGACUGUCAGCUCUUGGUGCAAUUCUGCUGUCCUGUCUAUAAGCUCUCUGUCUACCCAACGAAUAAAGGGUGGACUGGAUAGAAUUCCCUCCUUGGGAGAGGCCUCGUACUGUUUGUGAGUGAGCCAGGCCUCUGUGGUUUCCUGGGGCGUGAGUUCUGCAGGGGACGCCUUGUGGCUGGAGGUAGCCUCUUGACUGUCCUGGAGGGUCACUUACCUGUCUGGAACCACUGCCGGUGUCCUCUAGGUUUUGCACAGCCUGUUCCUCACUCUGCUCAUCUUUACUCAGAGCUGUUUACAUUCCGGCUCGGGUGUCUCUACCCAUCAGGACUGCCAGCCCCUUCCCGCAGGUGGAAGUGGGAGUUGAGGCCAUUUGGCCUAGGAGAACAGACUUGGGGUCACAGGUGCCCACCUAGGAGGCGACCCCCAGGCUCAGGCCUCAAAGUACAUGUCCUGGAGAGCAGGAGGAAGUGAGGAAGCUCUGGAAAAUGUGCCCAGGGCCAGGGUAAACCCACUUGUUAAGGAGCAUACUUUCUUGGAGGGCGCUGGGAAAUCUCAGGCUGAGUAAGCAGAGGGAGCACGGGUGAAGGGGGCUGCAUUCGAGCUGGAGCUGGACGUGGGCUGGGGCAGGCUACACCAGGCUGCCAAGAGACUGUUGAUGCGUUCUGCCUGCCCCCAGCCUGCACUCCAUAACAACCAAUAGCUGACUCACCCCAUCGCCCUCUCCUUUUGUACGCAGAAGCACCUCACAGGUUACAAUCAGAUGUUCCAAAAAAUGCCCCCCAAAGCAUAAUCUCCCACAGCAAAAACAAUCCCCACCUCAAGUCCUAGGCAGAAAACUUGCACUUCAUUCUUUCCAAAUAGACUUGCCCACUGUAGUGUUUUUCAGAAUUUUCAGAUUUCAUCCCAGUGAAUUCAGGAUAACUACCUCCACACAUCCUCUUCCCCCUCAUGGGGACCUAAGUGCCCUGGCCCUACAGCAUGUCAGGGAUUGGGGAUGUGAUGAUGGAUGG
rnacentral:lncRNA from 1 species